GAGGGUAUAGCUCAGUGGUAGAGUGCAUGUUUAGCAUGCACCAAGAGCCUGGGUUCAGUCCUCAGUACCGCCA
rfam:Camelus ferus unplaced genomic scaffold scaffold434, whole genome shotgun sequence.